UAUUCCCAUGACCAGGGUCCCUGUCAGAACCUGACCUGCUUCCCACCAGACAUCACCUGCAGUGGUGGCUGUGACCAAGGCCUAGUUCCCAUCCCACUGCUGGCCAACCUGACUGUGGAGGCCCAGCCCCCUUGGCUGCCUGGACUAGAGGCCCGGUAUGUGUCUUUCUCCCGAGACCUCAUGGCGGAUGCCCAGCGCCAGGGCCGACCAUUCUUCCUGUACUACGCUUCCCACGUGAGUGACCCUGGCCCUGCCCCCUGGCUGCCCGAGACCUGUACCUAGUGCUGACUCCAAUCUCUGCCUCCAGCACACCCACUACCCUCAGUUCAGUGGACAGAGCUUCACCAAGCGCUCAGGCCGUGGGCCCUUUGGGGACUCCUUGAUGGAGCUGGAUGGAGCUGUGGGGGCCUUGAUGACAGCUGUGGGGGACCUAGGUCUGCUGGGAGAGACACUGGUCAUCUUCACUGCAGAUAACGGUCCUGAAUUGAUGCGUAUGUCCGAUGGCGGCUGCUCCGGCCUCUUGAGAUGUGGAAAAGGAACAACUUUUGAAGGUGGCGUCCGGGAACCCGCCUUGGUCUACUGGCCAGGUCACAUUACUCCUGGUGUCACCCACGAGCUGGCCAGCUCUCUGGACCUGCUGCCCACCCUGGCAGCACUGACCGGGGCUCCGCUGCCCAAUAUCACCUUGGAUGGUGU
rnacentral:lncRNA from 1 species